UACGGAGGGUGCAAGCGUUAUCCGGAUUUACUGGGUUUAAAGGGUGCGUAGGCGGGUAGGUAAGUCAGUGGUGAAAUCUCCGAGCUUAACUCGGAAACUGCCUUUGAUACUAUUUAUCUUGAAUAUUGUGGAGGUAAGCGGAAUAUGUCAUGUAGCGGUGAAAUGCUUAGAUAUGACAUAGAACACCUAUUGCGAAGGCAGCUUACUACGCAUAUAUUGACGCUGAGGCACGAAAGCGUGGGGAGCAAACAGG
rnacentral:rRNA from 1 species